CCUUCGAUAGCUCAGUUGGUAGAGCGGUGGACUGUAGAAUUUGGAGGUCUCCCAUAAACAAUAGAGAGGCGCACACUUCUCCCUCAGUAAUCCAUAGGUCGCUGGUUCAAAUCCGGCUCGAAGGA
rnacentral:tRNA from 2 species